UUUUACUCCUGCAAGGUUUUUAAAACCUUGUAGGUUUAGUUAUGAAUACCUACAAGGUUAAAAAAAACCUUGCAGGACAAGUA
rnacentral:sRNA from 1 species